GGUUGAACAAAUAAUUUUAUUUGAUUUCAAGAGUAGCAUGGCUUUUGGGGUGGAAAGUC
rnacentral:ncRNA from 12 species